GACGAACGCUGGCGGCGUGCUUAACACAUGCAAGUCGAACGAGUGGCGAACGGGUGAGUAACGCGUAUCCCCCUGCCCUUCAGAAGGGGCCAACAGUUGGAAACGACUGCUCAUACCGCAUACUGGCGGGUGAACCGAUAUGGGAUUAGCUAGUCUGUAAGGUAAUGGUUUACCUAGGCGACGAUCCCUAGCUGGUCUGAGAGGAUGAACAGCCACACUGGGACUGAGACACGGCCCAGACUCCUACGGGAGGCAGCAGUGGGGAAUAUUUGACAAUGGGCGCAACCCUGAUCCAGCCAUCCCGCGUGUAUGAAGAAGGCCUUCGGGUUGUAAAGCACUUUCAGCCGGGAGGCGUUACCUACAGAAGAAGCACCGGCUAACUCCGUGCCAGCAGCCGCGGUAAUAC
rnacentral:rRNA from 1 species